rnacentral:rRNA from 1 species
UACGUAGGGUGCAAGCGUUUGUCCGGAAUUAUUGGGCGUAAAGAGCUCGUAGGCGGUUUGUCGCGUCUGCUGUGAAAACCCGAGGCUCAACCUCGGGCCUGCAGUGGGUACGGGCAGACUAGAGUGCGGUAGGGGAGAUUGGAAUUCCUGGUGUAGCGGUGGAAAUGCGCAGAUAUCAGGAGGAACACCAAUGGCGAAGGCAGAUCUCUGGGCCGUAACUGACGCUGAGGAGCGAAAGCAUGGGAGCGAACAGG